GCAUAUCAAUAAGCGGAGGAAAAGAAAAUAACAAUGAUUCCCCUAGUAACUGCGAGUGAAGAGGGACAAGCUCAGAUUUUAAAUCUGUUUGGUUCUUACCAAACCGAGUUGUAAUUUGAAGAAAAUGUUUUCUGUGUCUUGAAUUAAUUUAAAUCCUCUGGAAUGAGGUAUCAUGGAGGGUGACAAUCCCGUUCGUGGUUAAUUUUAAGACGCUUUAUGAUACGUUUUCGAAGAGUCGAGUUGUUUGGGAUUGCAGCUCAAAAUGGGAGGUAAAUUUCUCCUAAGGCUAAAUAUUGGCGAGAGACCGAUAGCGAACAAGUACCGUGAGGGAAAGAUGAAAAGAACUUUGAAAAGAGAGUUAAACAGUACGUGAAAUUGUUGAAAGGGAAACGAUUGAAGUCAGUCGUACCAGCGAGAAAUCAACCUUUCGGAAUGGGAUUUUGAAAAAAAUGAUUGUUCCUUUUGGUGUACUUUCUCGUGGGUAGGUUAACAUCGAUUUCGAUCAUCAUAAAAAGAUUGGAGGAAUGUAGCUUCGAUCUCGUAUUGAAGUGUUAUAGCCUUUAGUAAAUGUGAUGAUCAAGAUCGAGGAUUGCAACGAAUAUCCUUUGGGCUAUCCGUCUGAUCUCUGAUACGUUGCCUUGGUAUCGAAAGCUUGCUUAUGGUAUUAAGGUAUUACGGUCAAAAGGUUAGAACGUGAUUACAUUCGUUAANGAUGUUGACGUA
rnacentral:rRNA from 1 species